UACAGAGGGUGCGAGCGUUAAUCGGAAUUACUGGGCGUAAAGGGCUCGUAGGCGGCCAACUAAGUCGGACGUGAAAUCCCCAGGCUCAACCUGGGAACUGCGUCUGAUACUGGAUGGCUUGAAUCCGGGAGAGGGAUGCAGAAUUCCAGGUGUAGCGGUGAAAUGCGUAGAUAUCUGGAGGAACACCGGUGGCGAAGGCGGCUUCCUGGACCGACACUGACGCUGAGGCGCGAAAGCUAGGGGAGCAAACGGG
rnacentral:rRNA from 1 species